UACGUAGGUGGCGAGCGUUGUCCGGAUUUACUGGGCGUAAAGAGCGCGCAGGCGGUCGUGCAAGUCGCGUGUGAAAGCCCCCGGCUCAACUGGGGAGGGUCACGCGAUACUGCUCGACUCGAAGGCAGGAGAGGGAAGUGGAAUCCCGGUGUAGUGGUGAAAUGCGUAGAUAUCGGGGAGGAACACCAGUGGCGAAGGCGACUUCCUGGCCUGUUCUUGACGCUGAGGCGCGAAAGCUAGGGGAGCAAACGGGG
rnacentral:rRNA from 1 species